UACGUAGGGUGCGAGCGUUAAUCGGAAUUACUGGGCGUAAAGCGCGCGUAGGUGGAUAUUUAAGUCGGAUGUGAAAGCCCUGGGCUUAACCUAGGAAUUGCAUUCGAUACUGUGUGUCUAGAGUAUGGUAGAGGGAAGUGGAAUUUCCGGUGUAGCGGUGAAAUGCGUAGAUAUCGGAAAGAACACCAGUGGCGAAGGCGGCUUCCUGGACCAAUACUGACACUGAAGCGCGAAAGCGUGGGGAGCAAACAGG
rnacentral:rRNA from 1 species